rnacentral:lncRNA from 1 species
CAAAAAUUCAUUACAAAGCCGUAUAAUACAAUAUUUCUCCCAUUUCCUUUUCCCCAUUGACUCUGCCUCUCCAUGAUUUUCCUCGACGCCUCAACUCUCACUCUCAUCUCUCUCCUCCUUCCACCGUCAACCAUCGGCGCCUUAGCUCACUCUCGUCUCUCUCCGACUUCCACCUCUGACCAACGGUGCCUCAGCCCUCACUCAUGUCUCUCUCUGCCUUCAGUUCCAGGAAUUUUUUCACAAGUUAUUACUGCUUUUAAUUGCAAGUCCAAUUUUAUCCAUACAGCCCAAUCAAAACACCCUUUCCAUUUUUCGUUCACCUUGGAGGUUUUAGUAUCCAAAAUUGCACCGAUUCUACAAAAAGACCCUUCUCUUUCUCCUUCGAUGUUUCAUCAAGCGAAGCAGAUUCGCGCCCAGAUUACCGUAAAUGGACUCUAGAAAGUGGGCAUUCUAGGCACGAGAACUUUGGGUAUGUACGUUUUGUGUAACAAGUAUUUUGAUGCCAAGGAAUUAUUUUAUCAGCUUAAUUUAUGCUAUGCUGCUCCUUGGAAUUGGAUGAUUAGAUAUUUUACCGUGACAGAUUAUUUUGAAUUUGCAAUUUUAUUUUAUUUUAAGAUGUUGGAUUUUGGUUCUUGGCCUGACAAGUAUACUUUUCCUUAUGUAAUUAAGGCUUGUGUUCUGUUAAGUUAAGGACAAUACAUGGCUUGAUUAAAGAUUUAGGCUUUGAGAUGGAUGUGUACGUUGGCACUGCUCUGGUCAAGUUCUAUGCAGAUAAUGACUGUAUAGAAACUGCACAUCGUAAAGGUAAUUUACAAGCAUCCAUGUGUUAAAGAACUUGGCAAAAACAGAACGAUAUACCAAAAUGUAGAAUGGAUUGAAGGAAAAAUUGAAAUUUUAGCCAAAGAUGUUCAUUGAAGAUAGAGUUGCAUAAAUUCAAUUGCUUGGUUUUCAUCUGAUAAAUUAUAUUUAUGUUCUUCUUUUCUAUUUAUUCCUAUAGAAAUGUACUAGGUAAAUCAGAAGAAUUGGAAAAUCAAAUCACAACAAUUCACGUGAUGAAGAAAAAGAGGAAAAAAUAGCAAGUAAAUAUAACAUACAAAUGAAAUGCAGAGCCGGUCUUGUGGUGAGGCCAAUGAGGCCCACGCCUCAGGCACAAAAUUCGAGGGGGCCUCAUUUUGGCCUUGAAUUUUUUUUUUCUUUUUUUGUGAGGUAAAAGGAAAAGGGUAUUUUCCAUUCGUUCUUCCCCUCUGAUUUUUUUUCCUGCGAUUGCUCUCCUCGUCCAACCUCCAAGCGGCUCUAACUCCAACGGGACGGUAGUCAGUGACCAGGAUAGGGUUCCCAAAUGAUUUCUUACUUUUGAUUUUUUUUUUUUUUUAUGCAUUCUUUUCUUGUUCUAAUCUUGCUGGAUUGUCUUCUUCUUGCUUGAUCUGGUCAUUUUUGCUCUUCAGAGGGUUGGGCUUCCAAGUUUCAAAUUUGACUUUCCUUGGUUUUUCACACAGUUCCCAUGUCUAAAGUUUUCAAUUUCAGUGGUAAGAUCUCUGAUAUUUUCUGGCUUUUGCUUAAAUUUCAUAUCUUUACCUUCAUAUACAUUUGGUAAAUCCUCUUAUUUUUCUAUAAAACACGUGUAAACUAACAUAUAUAUCAAAUAACAUGUUUCAGCACAUUAAAUAUCUUAAAUCUUUUCUCGAUUUUUGCUAAAGAGUCUAUGUUUUAAUUUUUUUUAUGCCUUUGAUUUAAUUGAAUCUUGUAUUUUCAUGAAAUAAAUAUAUAUGUAUACUUGCAUAAAUGUCCAUUUUUAUAAUCUUCGUAGAGAUGUUAUUAUCUCAAAAUCUGGAUAUGUUUCACUUGAAAAAAGUUUAUCAAUUACGUUUUUGUGGCUUUGUUUGAAUAAAACUUGAUAUGGUCUUGGAAGUAUCUAAGUAUGUAAUUACGCUUACAGUCUUUGAUUACAGUGGCAUGAUCUUUUUGUGGAUUUUGCUUAAAGUUUAUGGUUCUAGACUUAUAGCAAUUUGCAAUAGGAUUCUGAAUUUAUGAUGAAUAACAUAAUGGAAUAGAAUUGUAUAUUUGUAUUGGUGUUUGAUCUUAAAUUUUUAUUUCAGGUUUGUGAAUUGUGACGGUAGAAUUUUCAAGGAUGUGGUUUCGUAAUUUUUAUCGAAAUUCUACUUCUCAGAUAAGCAAUCGCUUGACCUAACUUGUUAUUGAAUAUAGUGAAAAUGUUUGAGACCUUGUCGGCUUAUAUAAUUGCUACGUGCUUGGCUUAUAUGAUUGAAUAUUGUAUGAUCAAUAAUUGUUUGACAUUAUUGGUUUUGUUAUUUUAUAAUAUAAAUCUUUUGUAUAAUAUAU